UACGGCAGGGGCUAGCGUUGUUCGGAAUUACUGGGGGUAACGAGCGCGUAGGCGGCUUACCAAGUUGGGGGUGAAAUGCCUGAGCUCAACUUGGGAAUUGCCUUUGGGACUGUGAGGCUUUGAGGACGGGGGAGGUGAGUGGAAUUCCCAGUGUAGAGGUGAAAUUCGUAGAUAUUGGGAAGAACACCGGUGGCGCAGGCGGCUCACUGGCCCGUUUCUGACGCUGCAGCGCGAAAGCGUGGCGCUCAAACAGG
rnacentral:rRNA from 1 species